rnacentral:tRNA from 1 species
CGUAGCAUAGCUUAAUUCAAAGCACCCCGCUUACACCGGGGAGAUACCUGCGAGACUCAGAUUGCUUCGA